AGGAGCCAGAGAGCGAGAGAGAGAGAGAGAGAGAGAGAGAGUAGGAGUGACUAGAGGAUAGAGAGAAAGAGACAGCGAGGAAGAAAGACUGGCCUGAUCGAUCGUAGGACCGCGAGCUCUUAACAAGAAAAAUGGGAACAUGGCAGUACUUUUAAAGCAAACUACUAGCCCAAGUCGUGUAUAGACGAUCUAGUGAUGGCAUCAGCAUGCUGGGUUUAUUUCCACACAGAUUUCUUGGAUUCAUGUGAAGUUAAACUUAUUUGAACAGGUCACCGGAUGGAGGACUCCUGGGCUGACAAUCUGAUUCGAAUAACACUUUUGCUCGUCUGCUACUUCGUAUCGUCAAGAACAGACGAGAGUCAUUCUUGCAGACAAGCAACUUUCCUGGAAAAAAGUUCUUUUUUUUCUUUCCUGGACAAUGAAAAGUCUACAGUUAACGGUAUGUGUCCUUACGAACCUGCCAGACUCUCCCGUUCAAGUCAUUGUUUGAGCUAUGUUCAUAACUUUAACACCGCUCAUUUGGCAGACGAGUGCAUGAUCACGUCUGCUAAAAGCUUGUCAACUAAUAAAGGAAACAAAAGCAAGGCCGUUGAGGUGAAAGGUCAGACGAAGAAAACAUCCGGUGUAGUCAAAAAACUGAAGGGCUCCAAACGCCAAAGAAAGAAAAAUAAAAAGAAAAAAUUGGGAAAGAAAAAAAAGCGAAGCUGACGAGAGACACGCAGAGGAUUCUGGUCUUGUUCUUAUUGCAAAGCAAGUUUCUGUAUUCUGCUAACAUCUCAUCGUGUGGUAAUACAUGGGACUCAAUAUUAGUCAUCGAUGUCUCUUUCCAUCAUCCUGGUCAUCGAUGAAUCAUCAUUCAUUUGAGUAUUGAGCUAAAGAAUCGGACAUGAAUUUUCGUUGAAUUCUAUGGAUGAUUGCAAUUUACCAAGUUUGGAAACUAAAUUCCAUCAUUAUACCUACAUGGCAUUUUCCACAUAUUUAAAAUUCCAUUAUUUCAUUUUUUUAGAGUGUAAUUUCUUGAAAUUAUGAAAAGUUGAUCUAUAAAUGACAAACCUAUGUUCGAUAAUUGACGUAGGCUACAUUUUACUAACUGCUCUUUCCUUGGUGCUUUUGUCGACGUCUCUUAUUCUGCUUGAUUUCGUCUGUAACUUCUCUCAACAACUUUGAGCAUUAACUUUGUUGUACUAGACACUAAUGUUGGGAGGUUCGAAUGGAAUGAAUCUAGCAUGAAUUCUUAACGAAACACGGUUCAAGUAAAAAACAAAUUAAAUAAAGGAGCCGUCUAGGGGACUUAAUCAUGAAAUACUGAUUGUUAUAUACACUGACCGAACAAUCAAUGCAAUCAUUGGUGAUUAAAUGGACAAAUUUCCUUAAAAAGAUAGUAGUCUACAAUAUGUAUAAGUCAUUAAAGUGAAACCUGUCUUUAUGUAUCAAUAUGAUAACAUCGCUACACUUAACCAAUCUAGGAGUAGUUCGUAUAUUAUUGUGUUUUAUUUUUAUUACUUUUUUUUUAUUUAUUUUGUUUUGUAGAACUAUAAACAACUUGUUUUUAAAAUCAAUAUCAAGGUCAGCAAAAUGGAGGUACACUAACCACACCCAUAAAUAUGCAAUACAACCAAUAAACUUACUUACUUACAGAUAUCACCCUUAUUUGAGUAUGGGCCGCCAACAUUAGAUAUCCAUAGUCCCAAUGUCCUGGAGCAUGCUUUCCUUCCUGUUUCAUGUGUAACCAAACUUUAAUUUGUCUGCCUUUAGCGAACUCGAGGCUAACCAAUAAAAGAACGAAACGAAAGUAAUAGGCCUAAUAAUAAUAGGAAUACGAUUCUGUCUUUUCUAUGCAUUUCUUAUCAUUUGUUCUCAUGAUAUUGUUAUUAGUUGUAUUGCUUCUAUUAAACGCAAGACCUGCGGGUGGGGUGGGGCCCUACUAUGCCAAGACUAAAUACCACAAGACGGCUUCUCGUCACCACCUCGUAGAAAACCCUACUAGGAAAAGUAACGCAGUGUAAAUCUGGAACACACACACACACAUAGCCUACACCUUUCAUCAGGAAUUAUCAUAUAUUUGUUGGUAGAAAAAUAAUUGGUUUCGAAUAAACAAUGAGGUUUAGCAUGACAAAACUUUUUUUUUUUUUUUGCUGGGAAUAAACUAUCAAGUUUUAGAUGACAAAACUUUACGCUCGCGAUAAACAGGUUUAACAAAACAGAAACCCAAACGGAAUAAACGCCCGAAUAUGAAACAUUUCACAGGGGCGUAGCAUCCAUGGCGUAAGGACUGGAUUUGUUGUUUUUUUUUUUGUCACUAAGCCUUCAUAUCAUAUUCUUGAACCCGGGCCCACGGGUACAUUAUAAAUAUAACCACUACACUAUAAGAUGAUAACCACUAGACCAGUGAUGCCUUACCUAAUUCAAUCUGCGGGCCACGUGAUGGAAAAGAUACAAAAACUUAAUGAAAUUGACCUGAAACCCGAGGAUCUAGUACUCACAUUGAAUUAUUGGGAUAGUUGAAUUUUCUCUUUACACUUCAAAAAAUGUAGUAAGUUCUGUUUAUAAUUUAUUGUUCUUUUAAAAAAAACAACAGCCAGACUUUCUUUAUAAAAACAAACAUGUUGGCUAGCAAUGGUAUCAUGUUCUACAAAGAAAUAAAGAUCCGUACACUUUUCCUAGUAGAUUCUAUAGUCCUAUUUCAUGAACGCACAAAUGUGAAAUGCCUUGGUAGAAGAAAGUGAAUACUCUACGUAGCCGUUUCGGCGGGCCGGAUGGAAGAACGUGCGGCCCGCGGGCCGUAUUUUGGGCAUCACUGCACUAGACUAUAAGAUGAUAUGACACUUGUGAGGCUAGUCCUUGACAAACCAGUUCUAUCCGGUGUAAAAUGGCACACCAGCAAGAAUAAGCACCCAAUAAGACAUCACCUGAGCAUAAGUAGACACUAGACUAUAACAUUGUCCUCCUAAUUGUCAGGUACUUAUUGACUAACCAGCUGUGUAGUCCACCAUCCGCUUACACUGUUGUGUGUUAAGUCUAUUAGAUGAAUGGAGAUAAAGUAACUGUUCCAACUGAAUUAUUCAAAGACCAAAUGAGCAGUGAACAAGGGAGACUAUUGACUGAAACUUCUUUUUAGUAGUAUGUGAUGUCCCUCCUUGCAAUUAUUUAAAACACUUAUUAUGUAAGUUUAAACUCAAAAACAGGUUUUGUUUUGACUUUGUGUUAUUUGUAUUUUUUUUUGUCAAAGUAAAUAAGCUUGAGGAAUAUUUCCCUGUCUAAUGAGCAGGUCACAUUGGUCUGCCAGCAAAUGUUUUUCCGAUUUCCCAUUGAUCUUAUCAAUGUUGUUGUUUGAAGAUAUUAUUGCUUACCUUUAUUUUCUGUUUUCAGAUGUGAUAUUUUGUAGACUUUUAUACAAUGAUAUCUUGAGAAAAUAAAACUUUGGCUGUCAGGUCAAGCCAUGCUUGUUUUGGUCA